rnacentral:rRNA from 1 species
GGCAGUGGAGCCACUACCCUGUAGGUUAAUCUUGUCAGACCUGAGAAACCAAGCAAGGUGGGGCCUGAUCAAUACUGGGAUGGGAGAUCUCCAAGGAAAGCCAGGGUGCUGCUGCUG